UCUAAGCCUCUCUCUCACUUGUCACCUCCAUAGUUUCCUCGUAUUUUCUCUCUUCUUUUCCUCACCAACAUUACUUCUCUCUGAAUCAAUUUUUUAGCUUUAGUUCGGAUCAAAGUACUCAAGACAAAGAAAGGAUAAAAAACGGUGAAAUUGAUGGAGCGACGCAUCUCUGUUUGUUUAUGGUUGAUUCUGGCGUUGAAUUUGGUUUCCAGAGUUGCAGGCAAUGCUGAAGGUGAUGCUUUGAAUGCAUUGAAGAUCAAUUUGGCUGACCCCAAUAACGUGUUUCAAGUGGGAUCCAACCCAUUUCAACCCUUGCCUAUGGCAGAAUAUUACUUGCAACAAUGAAAAUAGUGUGAUCAAAGUUGAUCUUAGGAAUGCAAAUCUAUCGGUCAGCUUGUUCCAGAACUCGGGCAGCUUUCGAAUUUGCAGUACUUGGAGCUAUGUAGUAAUUACAUAUCUGGGACAAUCCCGGAGGAACUUGGAAAUUCGACGAGCUUAGUGAACUUGGAACUUUACUUGAAUGCUUUAACAGGACCCAUUCCAACUUCUCUGGGCAAGCUAAGAAAGUUGAGCGUCCUGCGUCUCAACAACAACUCCUUGACAGGUCAAAUUCCAAUGUCCUUAACUACUAUUGAUACACUGCAAGUGCUGGAUCUUUCAAACAAUCGGCUAGUAGGAGAUAUUCCAGUUAAUGGCUCCUUUUCAUUUUCAAUCCUAUCAGUUUUGUUAAUCCACUCAAUUAUCUUCCUCCUGCUCCACCUCCCCUAUCCAAACUACAGCUUCAACUCAUCAGGUAAUACCGCCAUUGGUGCUAUUUUUGGAGCUAUUCUGCUGUUCUUUGUCUCUGUAGUUAUAUUUGCUUAAAGUGAUGGGAUCUUUCCUUUAACGCACUUGGCUAGUAAUUUUUAUCCCUAAUGUUUUAAAUGCCACAAAAUGUGUUC